rnacentral:rRNA from 1 species
GAAGCUUGCUUCUUCUGAUUUAGCGGCGGACGGGUGAGUAACACGUGGGCAACCUGCCCUGUAGAUUGGGAUAACUCCGGGAAACCGGGGCUAAUACCGAAUAAUCCAUUUCCUCACAUGUGGAAAUGUUAAAAGACGGUCUCGGCUGUCACUACAGGAUGGGCCCGCGGCGCAUUAGCUAGUUGGUGAGGUAACGGCUCACCAAGGCGACGAUGCGUAGCCGACCUGAGAGGGUGAUCGGCCACACUGGGACUGAGACACGGCCCAGACUCCUACGGGAGGCAGCAGUAGGGAAUCUUCCACAAUGGACGAAAGUCUGAUGGAGCAACGCCGCGUGAGUGAAGAAGGUUUUCGGAUCGUAAAACUCUGUUGUGAGGGAAGAACAAGUACGAGAGUAACUGCUCGUACCUUGACGGUACCUCAUUAGAAAGCCACGGCUAACUACGUGCCAGCAGCCGCGGUAAUACGUAGGUGGCAAGCGUUGUCCGGAAUUAUUGGGCGUAAAGCGCGCGCAGGCGGUCCUUUAAGUCUGAUGUGAAAGCCCACGGCUCAACCGUGGAAGGUCAUUGGAAACUGGGGGACUUGAGUGCAGAAGAGGAAAGUGGAAUUCCAAGUGUAGCGGUGAAAUGCGUAGAGAUUUGGAGGAACACCAGUGGCGAAGGCGACUUUCUGGUCUGUAACUGACGCUGAGGCG